UGGGUGCUUCACUAUGGCGACGGUGGGGGCUCCGCGGCGCUUCUGCCGCUGCGCCUGCUUUUGCACCGAGAACUUGUACGUGGCGCGCUAUGGGCUGCACGUGCGCUUCCGAGGCGAGCAGCAGCUGCGCCGGGACUACGGCCCGAUCCUGCGCAGCCGAGGCUGUGUUAGCGCCAAGGACUUCCAGCAGCUGUUAGCAGAGCUUGAGCAGGAGGUGGAGCGACGGCGGCGGCUGGGGCAGGAGUCAGCAGCUAGGAAAGCCCUCAUCGCGAGUUCCUACCACCCGGCACGGCCUGAGGUCUACGACUCACUGCAGGAUGCAGCUCUGGCCCCCGAGUUUCUGGCCGUGGCUGAGUACAGCGUGUCCCCGGGCGCAGACCUCAAGGGCCUUCUCCAGCGGCUGGAGACACCCUGAAAAGCGAAGGCCUCAUCCCCAUGGCACAGGUGAUGAAACAGGAAGACUGAAGUCCAGGCCUGGCCGGCCCACGGCCAUAUUUAGGCCAACAGACCAUCCCUCCUUCCACAGAGGAGAAGCGCAUCUACCGGGUGCCUGUGUUCACAGCACCCUUCUGCCAGGCCUUGCUGGAAGAGCUGGAGCACUUCGAGCAGUCGGACAUGCCUAAGGGGAGGCCCAACACCAUGAACAACUAUGGGGUGCUGCUGCACGAGCUUGGGCUGGACGAGCCGCUGAUGACACCACUGCGGGAGCGCUUCCUGCAGCCACUGAUGGCCCUGCUGUACCCUGACUGUGGCGGGGGCCGGCUCGACAGCCACCGGGCCUUUGUGGUCAAAUACGCACCGGGCCAGGACCUCGAGCUGGGCUGCCACUAUGAUAAUGCCGAGCUCACACUCAAUGUGGCCUUGGGCAAGGUCUUCACGGGGGGCGCCCUGUAUUUUGGGGGCCUCUUCCAGGUGAGUGUGUGACCCAUGUGGCAGGGCCUGGGGUAGCUGUGAGUGCCCAGGCCUGAGUCGUGCCAUCUGCAGGCACCCACAGCCCUGACGGAGCCCCUGGAGGUGGAGCACGUGGUGGGCCAGGGUGUUCUCCACCGUGGCGGCCAGCUGCAUGGGGCCCGGCCCUUGGGCACUGGUGAGCGUUGGAACCUUGUCGUCUGGCUCCGAGCCUCUGCUGUGCGCAACCGCCUCUGUCCCAUGUGCUGCUGUGAGCCCGACCUGGUGGAUGAUGAGGGCUUCGGUGAUGGCUUCACCCGAGAGGAGCCCGCCACGGUGAAUGUGUGUGCGCUCACCUGAGCUUGCUUGGGCCCAGUGUGGGGGUGGCAGGGAGGUGAGGGCUCCGUUGCCUUGGGCUGGGGGCAGAAAUAAAAUCCCCGCAGCCUACUGCAC
rnacentral:sRNA from 1 species